rnacentral:rRNA from 1 species
AGGAGCUUGCUCCUUUGACGUUAGCGGCGGACGGGUGAGUAACACGUGGGUAACCUACCUAUAAGACUGGAAUAACUCCGGGAAACCGGGGCUAAUGCCGGAUAAUAUUUAGAACCGCAUGGUUCUAAAGUGAAAGAUGGUUUUGCUAUCACUUAUAGAUGGACCCGCGCCGUAUUAGCUAGUUGGUGGGGUAAUGGCUUACCA